rnacentral:rRNA from 1 species
UACGUAGGGGGCGAGCGUUGUCCGGAAUCAUUGGGCGUAAAGGGCGCGUAGGCGGCCUGAUAAGUAGGGGGUGAAAUCCUGCGGCUUAACCGCAGGGCUGCCUUCUAAACUGUCGGGCUAGAGCACGGUAGAGGCAGAUGGAAUUCCCGGUGUAGCGGUGGAAUGCGUAGAGAUCGGGAAGAACAUCAGUGGCGAAGGCGGUCUGCUGGGCCGUUGCUGACGCUGAGGCGCGACAGCGUGGGGAGCAAACAGG